rnacentral:tRNA from 2 species
AUUUUUGUAGCUUAAAAAUAAAGCGGGGAGCUUUUAACUUUCAGAUACAGUAAUGUCAAAAAUA